UCAAACUUGGUCAUUUAGAGGAAGUAAAAGUCGUAACAAGGUCUCCGUAGGUGAACCUGCGGAGGGAUCAUUAGAGAAACAUCUCUACAGGUGGAGUGUGAUGGGCUUCGGCUCGCACGCUUCACUUUAUACCCCCAUGCCUGGGGUCGGGGUGAGGUUGUGUUGUCUGCUUUUGCAAACGCGCCCCUCCUUCGUCCUCAGUUCAUAUAUACACCUUUCAUACUGGUCAGCCUAACGGCGCAGUAAACUGAACCUUUUUGAUAAGCAUUGUCGGCAUUUAUUUAUUCUGUUGAAUAAGUGGAGCAUUGGCAGUGUGUAUUCAAUCAUAAACAACUUUCAACAAUGGAUCCCUCGGCUCUCCCAUCGAUGAAGAACGCAGC
rnacentral:misc_RNA from 1 species